GACGAACGCUGGCGGCGUGCUUAACACAUGCAAGUCGAACGGAAAGGCCCUGCUUUUGUGGGGUGCUCGAGUGGCGAACGGGUGAGUAACACGUGAGUAACCUGCCCUUGACUUUGGGAUAACUUCAGGAAACUGGGGCUAAUACCGGAUAGGAGCUCCUGCUGCAUGGUGGGGGUUGGAAAGUUUCGGCGGUUGGGGAUGGACUCGCGGCUUAUCAGCUUGUUGGUGGGGUAGUGGCUUACCAAGGCUUUGACGGGUAGCCGGCCUGAGAGGGUGACCGGCAAAAUGGGGACUGAUAGAAGGCCCAGCCUCCCCGGGGGGGCAGCGGGGGGGAAUAUGGCACAGUGGGGGGAGGCUGGAGGCAGCAACCCCGCGGGGGGGAGGGGGGCUUGGGGUUUAAAACCCGCUUUCGCCUGUGACGAAGGGGGGGGGAGGGAAAGGGGUAAAGAAGCCCGGCCAAACCACGUC
rnacentral:rRNA from 1 species